rnacentral:tRNA from 1 species
UGCAUCGGCAUGGAAUCGAACCCGGGGCGCCCGCGUGGCAGGCGAGCAUUCUACCACUGAAACACUGAUGC